rnacentral:lncRNA from 1 species
GUAAAAGCUGUGUGUAUAGCAUGGCCAUGUAGGUUAGAUUGAAGCCUCAUUACAUUGAUGACAGAACAGAGGAUUCUAAAACCUGGAGCAGGAGCCAAAUCCAAAAGUUAAGCUGAGGUGGAGCCCCUUCAGUGAGUUUGGGUGAGCCCUUGUGCAGUAGGAGGUAAAGGCCUGGUCACAAAGGUGGAAGACAGGUCACAUGGGCAUCAAAGACAAUGAUAACCUAUUUCUUAAUUUAUCUUAGCAUCAGAAAGGCCAAUAUCAUAUACUUCAUGAUGGCAUCAUACACAGAUGCAUUACUGGCACAUAAAAAUGCUGAUGGUGACACAUGUGCAUGAAUAAAUUCUCCAAAUACUUGUCUCUGUGACUUUGUCUCUAUGUCUGAGGUAUAACAGCUUUGAAACAGUGUUUCAUACAUGUUACAUGUCAGCUCCUAAACAGAACAAUAACCUUUAGGAGUAAAGUGAAAAUUGUAUUCCUAAAACAAUUGUGAUCCCAAUUCUACAAUAUACUUUAGCUAUAAAUAGACAUUACAGAGAAUUGUUUUACUGCUAUCAUUUCUUGGGUCACUUGUCUCUUGCUAAUUUGGAAACAUGAGUGCUUUCUUGUUCUGUUUAAUAAGGUACUAAAAUAAAUUCUAGAUAGCAUAUAACAUUUUAUUGUAAAUUUCUUUGACUUCAAUGAAUUGCAUUUUAUGUGGAGUGCAGGUUCGUAGAAUGCUGCCAAACUCAUAUGUUUAAAUUGUUAAAAAUAAACUCUUUGGAUUGCUAAUGACUGUAGUAUAUGCAAUUCACCAGAUUGUUUAAACAGAUUUCAAAUAAUUUUCCUGUAAUUGCUAAUCAUUUUGUAGGAGACCUGAGACCAGCAAUCAAUAAUCACAUGAAACUGUUGAAAAGGAGGCUCAGUGAUCAAUACAAAUUCUUCUUUCCGUGGGAAUACAGCCUGCUCAGAUGGUUGACAUAUAUAGUGCUCUCCUUGGUGUUCUCUUCUGUUAUGUAUUUAUUGCAGUUUCAUAGUUACCCCAGCGUGAUCUCUG